UUUUCAGGCUAACAGCUUCCAUUGGAUAAGUAUAAGGACAAGGCUGUGAUAUGAUCACUUGUGACUUCCAUUUGUUUUCUUUAUAGACCCUAUCUAUAAGCCCGGACAAGACCUUAAGUGAUUUGGAGAAAACUCCAGGAACAAACUUGCCAACAAAGUUUUCAAGCUUCAUAAGCAAAAUGCUACAUAGAAAAGUUGCCUAUGUCUGCUCUGCGGCAAUAAGACAACAGCUGCUGUCAAAUCAGUGCAAUCUUCUUAUCAUGCAUGUAAGGCCUCCAGAGAUAGAUUCCUUAAGAACCUGGUCUUUCCCAUUUUUCAAGAUGAGCUGAUUCUGCAGCAGGUGGCACUGUUGGUUGUGUUCAGAGUGACAAUGCAUAAAAGAACUGCAAAUUAGAGGCACUGAGUAACAGGAGUUCCCUACCACAGCGGGCAUCUGUCAGAGACUAUUGAUUGAGCUUACAGCUAGAUAACCGUGACACGGAACAGAAGAGCUAAAUAUGACCUCUAUUUUACAAAAGGGGGCUAAAGCACAAAGGUCAAUGGCUGGUUUAUUUAAUCAGCAGGUGAGAUUUUGUUUUAUGGUAAUGAUAAUAUUUUGAUGUUUACCUCUAAAUUACUGAGCUGUAGUUUUCAGUUUCAACUUCAGUUGCAUCUUUGUUUUGUCUGAGAACAGAGAAAAGGUGAAAUCUGACUAAUUUGUUUAGUAAAAAAUAAUCUUUUUAAUUAGAGUUGUUGUUUAUUGCAGUUCCCAAGCUUUUGACAUGGCAUUUGGUGCUUGUUUCCUUUACGACAAGGCGGAGUGGGUUUGCUUCCUCACUUACCACUAUGAGCAUUUUGAAAUUUCUGUCAUUCAAUGGCACUGAACUGCAGAAAAUGUGGUUUUCUUUCUCCUGUACCGUGUGGUGGAU
rnacentral:lncRNA from 14 species